rnacentral:rRNA from 1 species
GCAUAUCAAUAAGCGGAGGAAAAGAAAACCAACAGGGAUUACCUUAGUAACGGCGAGUGAAGCGGUAAAUGCUCAAAUUUGAAAGCUGCCAACAGGCCGCGUUGUAAUUUGUAGAAGAUGCUUUGGGUGUCGGCCCAGUCUAAGUUCCUUGGAACAGGACGUCAUAGAGGGUGAGAAUCCCGUAUGUGAUUGGUGCCGUCCCCCGUGUAAAGCUCUUUCGACGAGUCGAGUUGUUUGGGAAUGCAGCUCAAAAUGGGUGGUAAAUUUCAUCUAAAGCUAAAUAUUGGCCAGAGACCGAUAGCGCACAAGUAGAGUGAUCGAAAGAUGAAAAGCACUUUGGAAAGAGAGUUAAACAGUACGUGAAAUUGUUGAAAGGGAAGCGCUUGCAAUCAGACUUGCAGGCGGUCGAUCAUCCGAGGUUCUCCCCGGUGCACUCGAUCGUCUUCAGGCCAGCAUCGGUUUCCGUGGUGGGAUAAAGGCUGUGAGAACGUAGCUCUUCGGAGUGUUAUAGCUCACGGUGCAAUGCCGCCUACGGGGACCGAGGACCGCGCUUCGGCUAGGAUGCUGGCGUAAUGGUUGUAAGCGACCCGUCUUGAAACACGGACCAAGGAGUCUAACAUCUAUGCGAGUGUUUGGGUGUCAAACCCAUACGCGUAAUGAAAGUGAACGGAGGUGAGAACCCUUUAGGGCGCAUCAUCGACCGAUCCUGAUGUCUUCGGAUGGAUUUGAGUAAGAGCAUAGCUGUUGGGACCCGAAAGAUGGUGAACUAUGCGUGAAUAGGGUGAAGCCAGAGGAAACUCUGGUGGAGGCUCGCAGCGGUUCUGACGUGCAAAUCGAUCGUCAAAUUUGCGUAUAGGGGCGAAAGACUAAUCGAACCAUCUAGUAGCUGGUUCCUGCCGAAGUU